rnacentral:rRNA from 1 species
AUGGGUCAUGGAGGUGUGGCCCCAAAGUUUAUGCCGUUCCAUCUAUUGGAAGAAAUGACAGAUCGUUUCUCUGAACACCGCAGCUUAGGUAGCGGCUCUUAUGGAAAAGUUUACAUGGGAGUGGAGAAGAAUGGGAAGAAGAUUGCUGUCAAGAUGCUCCAUGACACGAUAGAGGUUAACGAUGAUCAAUUUGACACCGAGUGUCUCAACCUUGCAUGUCUCCAGCACAACAAUAUUGUGCAGUUGGUUGGCUAUUGUCAUGAUACUAAGCGAGAAUACGUAUGGCACGACGGAAAACUUGUUCCUGCUCACGGGACAAAGAGGGCACUUUGCUUGGAGUACAUGAAUAACGGAACCCUUGAAAAAUUUCUUUCUGAUGAAUCGAAGGCACAUGAUUGGUGCACACGUUUUUCAAUAAUCAAGGGAAUCUGCAAUGGUUUAAAAUACCUUCACAAGGAUCUGGAAUCUCCAAUGUAUCACUUGGAUUUAAAACUAGCCAAUAUAUUGCUGAAUGAGAAUAUGGUACCGAAAAUCGCAGAUUUCGGCUUGUCGCGGCUCUUUGAAGGUCAAAAGACACAAAGGACAAAGAGUAUUAUAGGAACACGAGGAUACCUACCGCCAGAAUAUUGUAAUGGGGAAAUAAUCUCAAAUAAGUUUGAUAUAUACAGCUUAGGUGUUGUAAUCAUAAAGAUAAUGACAGGACCUCGGGGCUACUUUAGUAGUGCUGAGAUACCUUCCUGGGAAUUCAUUAAGAAUGUGCACGAAGAAUGGAGGAAAAGGCUACAGGUGACAUCCGAGUAUCUGCUAGAGUCGUAUUCUAAACAAGUCAAGAGGUGCAUUGAGAUAGCUGUAAGUUGCUUGGAGACUGAUCGAAACAAAAGGCCAAGUAUAUGGGACAUCGUCCAUGAGCUGAAUAAGACAUAUACUAUGCUUCAAUUUGGUAGUGGAUUAACAAAUGACCAAGGGUUAUCGUUUUCAUCAAUAGACCAGAGCCCUCGGUUGAAGAUGACAACCAGCAGCGCCAACUGCAUGAUGCUCACAUCAAGAUCACUACGGAUUGCCAACAACCUGCCCCAGUACUAG